GACGUACGCUGGCGGCGUGCUUAACACAUGCAAGUCGAGCGGAAAGGCCACUUCGGUGGUACUCGAGCGGCGAACGGGUGAGUAACACGUGAGUAAUCUGCCCCUGGCUUUGGGAUGGCCACCGGAAACGGUGAUUAAUACCGGAUACGACCACUUCUCGCAUGGGAUGGUGGUGGAAAGUUUUUUCGGCCAGGGAUGUGCUCGCGGCCUAUCAGCUUGAUGGUGAGGUAAUGGCUCACCAUGGCUUCGACGGGUAGCCGGCCUGAGAGGGUGACCGGUCACACUGGGACUGAGACACGGCCCAGACUCCUACGGGAGGCAGCAGUGGGGAAUAUUGGACAAUGGGCGGAAGCCUGAUCCAGCAACGCCGCGUGAGGGAUGACGGCCUUCGGGUUGUAAACCUCUUUCAGCAGGGACGAAGCGCAAGUGACGGUACCUGCAGAAGAAGCACCGGCCAACUACGUGCCAGCCGCCGCGGUAA
rnacentral:rRNA from 1 species